AAACUUUUUUAAUCCCCCUCUCUAAUCAAUUUCGAAAUCGCAAUUAGAUAAAUUAAAAACGCGUUAAGAAAAUUGCCCAAUUAAAAAAAAACCGGACCCGGGUUAAAUUUAAAAAAAAAUUGUAUUGGGGAUAAAAUUAAAAUAAGGGUUUCUGUGUUCUUCACUCACAACACAGACAAACAACGAAGAAAAGAGAGAGAGAGAGAAAUAGAUGACGACGAGAAACAGAGAGAGAGAGAGAGACAACGACGACGACGUGAAAUAGAGAGAGAGACGACGACGACGACUAAGAACAGAGAAGAAAGAGAGAGAGGCAAAGAGAAGAAUGACCAAGUACGGAGGAGAGAGAUAGACGAAAAACAGAGAGAGAAACGAUCAGAAAGAGUGACAAAGAACUUCUCCACUGAUCAUGAGCAGCUCAGCCUCAUCUUCUUGGCGACAGAGAACAAUGGGAGGUGAGGCUGUGAUAGAUGAGAUUGGAAAGGUGGAUGCAAAACAUGAUGACUUGUGAAUGAUGUUCAUGAUCUGCGACAGAGUGUGAUGAAGCGCUUUGAGUUUCAAGAAACAAGGCUUGAGAAGAUGGAAGAAGAAGCUAUGAGAAAUUGAGAACUGAGAUGAAUGAAGAGAUGAUUGAAAGCUAUGAUAGGAUAUGUUUUUUUGGAAAGGGGUCUGCUAACUGAAAUGAUCACAUUCUCUUAUGUGUUUAGACUUAUGAAAGACUCUUAUGUGUUUAGUGUCGAAAAUGGUCAUGUUCUUUAUGUGGAUUUGUGAUGCUAAGUUUAGAACAUGAGUUUGACUUGUUAUGAUCGAAAAUUAUGCUUGAUUUUGCAUUUUUAUGCUUAAAAGUUUUAAAGAAUACAGUGUUUGUUUUUCCU
rnacentral:lncRNA from 1 species